CCUACGGGGGGCUGCAGUCGAGAAUCAUUCACAAUGGGGGAAACCCUGAUGGUGCGACGCCGCGUGGGGGAAUGAAGGUCUUCGGAUGGUAAACCCCUGUCAUGUGGGAGCAAAUUAAAAAGAUAGUACCACAAGAGGAAGAGACGGCUAACUCAGUGCCAGCAGCCGCGGUAAUACAGAGGUCUCAAGCGUUGUUCGGAAUCACUGGGCGUAAAGCGUGCGUAGGCUGUUUCGUAAGUCGUGUGUGAAAGUCGAGGGCUCAACCCGCGGACGGCACAUGAUACUGGGAGACUAGAGUAAUGGAGGGGGAACCGGAAUUCCCGGUGUAGCAGUGAAAUGCGUAGAUAUCGAGAGGAACACUCGUGGCGAAGGCGGGUUCCUGGACAGUAACUGACGCUGAGGCACGAAGGCCAGGGGAGCGAAAGGGAUUAGAUACCCUAGUAGUC
rnacentral:rRNA from 1 species